UACGAAGGGGGCUAGCGUUGCUCGGAAUUACUGGGCGUAAAGCGCACGUAGGCGGCUUUCUAAGUCGGGGGUGAAAUCCUGGAGCUCAACUCCAGAACUGCCUUCGAUACUGGAGAGCUCGAGUCCGGGAGAGGUGAGUGGAACUGCGAGUGUAGAGGUGAAAUGCGUAGAUAUCGGGAGGAACACCAGUGGCGAAGGCGGCAUCCUGGCCAUGUCCUGACGCUCAGGGGCGAAAGCGUGGGGAGCAAACCGG
rnacentral:rRNA from 1 species